GACGAAGGAUGCAAGCGUUAUCCGGAUUCAUUGGGGUUAAAGGGAGCGUAGGCGGCCCUAUAAGUCAGUGGGGAAAUCUCUCGGCUUAACCGAGAAAUUGCCAUUGAUACUGUAGGGCUUGAGUACAGUUGCCGUUGGCGGAAUAUGACAUGUAGUGGUGAAAUACAUAGAGAUGUCAUAGAACACCGAUUGCGAAGGCAGCUAACGAAGCUGUAACUGACGCUGAGGCUCGAAAGUGCGGGGAUCAAACAGG
rnacentral:rRNA from 1 species